rnacentral:lncRNA from 1 species
AAAAGUGAAUAUAAAUAAAAAUAGUGUGAGAUACUAUUUUUAUUGGAUUUAGAAAAGUAAAAUAUAAGUCGGGAUCGACUCGUGCGGAAAUCGGAGUGAAAAUAAAAAAUUGAGAAUUUUCUGUGUGAGACGGGGCUGAUAUUUUAGCAGAAAAUGUACAGUGUCAGAAACUUUCGAAAAUCUAGAAAUAUGUUAGGAUUAUUUUUAUGAGGCUAGAUUUAAAGUUUCAUGUCGAUUCGACACCCGAAAGAUGGAAAAUAAAAUCCGACUGCUAUCUGCUAGAGAUUACAGUUCGAUAGAGCUUUCGGUGACCAAACAUGGUCGUAACAGAAAGAUUU